rfam:Schistosoma mansoni, Puerto Rico, WGS project CABG01000000 data, contig: 0135
AUCCAGCUGACGAGUCUCAAACACGACGAAACGUGCGUUCUGUAU